rnacentral:misc_RNA from 1 species
GAUGAAGAACGCAGCGAAAUGCGAUACGUAGUGUGAAUUGCAGAAAUACGUGAACCAUCGAAUCUUUGAACGCAUAUUGCGCUCGAGGCUUCGGCCAAGAGCAUGUCUGCCUCAGCGUCGGGUUAAUACUCACACUAAUCAAUUUACUAUUGAUUAAUGUGGACCUGGCCGUCUCACUUGAUUUAUUAUUGAGUGGGUCGGCUGAAGAAUAGAGGUUGACGCAUGGACCCGUUAAGGGCCUCGGCUUUGGUAGUGUAUAAAUUUAUUUUAUGCUCAAAUGCUAAUAGCUGAUGGUCUGGAUCUGUACUUGUCAUCCCAAACCAGGAAAAUAUUUAUUAACCAUUUUCUCGACCUGAGCUCAGGCAAGAACACCCGCUGAACUUAAGCAUAUCAAUAAGCGGAGGA